UCCCCGCUCCCCGGCCCGGGCCCGGGCCCGCCCCUCCCGCGGGGUCCCGCAGAGUGGGCGCCGAGUGCCGGGCUCUGGGGCGCGGACCUCGCGGAGCCCUGGCGGGCGGCGAGGGCCGGGUCGGUGGUGGCCCCUCAGGGGGCGGCCGCCGGGGCUACCACGGAGGCGCGGGAGAGCCUCCCCAGGAGAGAACUGGGCCUUUGUCUCCGGGAAAAACGGAAAGUCACAUCCUUCAGGAACAGUUAAACCAACUGCGUGACACAGGACCCGGAACCCAGUAGGUGCUAGAACGUUCGAUGAAUGAAUGAGCAGAGGCCGCAAGAAGAGAAAUACCCUGUGGGACCAUGGCUGUUGGCACUGUUUGUUUUUGUUGUCUGUGGCUCAGGACCACGAUCCUGAGAAGGGCCGGCUAAAGAGAAAGUUUUGUCCCAUUCCAAGCAGCAAAGACAGCCCCCGCUGAAGCUUGCUGUUAAGCGAGGCCUAUCCUGCGGGCACGGCUGGCAGAGGAAAGGGAGAAUCAGCCUGCUCAGUUGUUCUGACUUCUGAUACGGCCGCAGGAAGUCCGAGGGGCGACCACAGAGAUCGGCAUUGGGAUUAAAGAUGUUCAGUGUGCAACUUUAAACAGUCCUGUGUUGCUUCUUAAAAUUCCAUCUUUGCACUC